GCCGCGGUAGCUCAGGGGUAGAGCACGUCAUUGGUAAUGACGGGGUCGGAAGUUCGAUUCUUCUCCGCGGCACCA
rnacentral:tRNA from 1 species